rnacentral:misc_RNA from 1 species
GGAAGUAAACGUCGUAACAAGGUUUCCGUAGGUGAACCUGCGGAAGGAUCAUUAUUGUAUAACCGAGGUGCGAGGGCUGUCGCUGACCCGAAAGGUCGUGCACGCCCGAGUGCCCUCACACACAUCCAUCUCACCCCUAUGUGCACCACCGCGUGGGUCCCCCUUUGGCUUGUUCGGAGGGGGGCUUACGUUUUCACACAAACUUUGUAUGCAGUGUAGAAUGUAUUUUUUGUUUUUGCGAUCACGCAAUCAAUACAACUUUCAACAACGGAUCUCUUGGCUCUC